rnacentral:tRNA from 1 species
UGGGGAGGGGGGGAGUUGAACCCCCAUAAGUAAAUUUACAGCUUACUGCCUUUGCUCGGCCACCUAACC